AAAAAACAACACAAAAACAAUUCAGUUGUUUAGUUUUCUGAUUGAUUGUCCAACAAUGUGACGUGUUUGGUGGGCGAGUGUUUUGGUGCGUUUGUCAAAGUGACAUAUGGGGACAUUUUUAUGAAAUUUCACCUUACAUAUGAGGACCUGUUGAAAUAUGGGGACAUUUUCCAUGUCCCCAUAUUUCCCGCAAUGCUAUCGUGUUCUAGACCCUCCCAGCAUGUUCCCAGACCAAAAAUCUCUAAAGUCUUCAUUUGUCAAAUUUUCAGAAAAAGUGUGUGAAAGUGUGUUUAAUUUUUUUGGUCACCUUCGAUUUUGCCCCUAGUGGCCAUCUUUGCUAUUAUGACACACACACACACACUUGUCCUCAUAUGUCAUAUGUCCUCAUAUGUCAUGUGGGUCAGAAACUCACACACUCCAACAUUUGAAAAACAUCUAAUCAUUACAGCAAUAAAUAUACUUUUGAAUUCUAAAUCAAAUAACACAUUUUCAACUGAUCUGAUGAUCUCAACCUUUUUUAUGUUAGUUUUAUCUAUUCAUUUGGUUUAUCUGGAGAGGAUUUGUGCUGGACAAUCAAUAAUAAAGGGAUUAUGGUGAUGAUUUAAUCGGUUUGAUUCAGUAUUUUACUGUAUUGGGCUUUUUUCUAUUCUGUUGUCUAAAAUACAAUGCCGCACAAUAAUUACUUUAAAUGUGCCUGAAAAAAAACCUUCAACCUUGAUUGAGACAAAGGCGAUAAUUCAAAUGCAAUUCAAACUACAUCCAGUGUUUAAUAUUUUCAAAUGGUUACAAUAGCACAUGAUUUUGGUAUUUUUAUCUUUGGGACAAAUUUUGGAUUCAAUUGGGGAUUGUUUUUGGAGGUAUUCACUUCACAUUGUGUUCAAGAUGCUUACUUCCGCCCACUCUGAAGAGUCUCGGCGUCUGAUUGGUCCAAUUUUUAGUUAGGCGCCGCCUGAUUGGCCGCUGGACGAUGUCUGCUCCUAACAGAGGGCUAAAUCACUAGUUAACUAUUUUCAUCAUGGAAGUUAUACAGCUCAUGUAUCACACUUAAUAUUGAAUAUAUAUAAAAAGGGUUUUCCAAAAGGACCAUUUAUAAUCGAAAUACAAAACUUCACACACGAUUUUGAGCACAACAGGGCGCUCAGUGAACAGCACUUCCGGGACGUGCAGCACCAGAGGGGGACAUCUAUCUUGGCCACAAACCAUCUUUGACAGUCUUCGGCAGCAUGGUUGAAUCAGGCGCAUCAACACAUGAUAUAGACAUCGUGCCCAAAAGAAGAGCGAGAUGUAAUCCUGAGGCUGAAGCCAUCGAGUUUAUGUGAUCUGGAUGUGACAAGUCUUGUUUUAAGGCCCAGUGGAUCAAUGAUUGGAAAGACACCAACUGUUGAUGUUCUAUCUCAACAUUCUCCAGAUUCAUGUGAGCAAUAAACCGACUUCAUCCCUCCAACAGACACCAACUGUUGGGGUUCUAUCUCAACAUUCUCCAGAUUCAGAUGUGAGCGAUAAACCGACUUCAUCCCUCCAACAGAAACCAACUGUUGAGGUUCCAUCUCAACAUUCUCCAGAUUCAGAUGUGAGCCAUUAACUGACUUCAUCCCUCCAACAGAAACCAACUGUUGAGGUUCUAUCUCAACAUUCUCUAGAUUCAGAUGACAGCCAUAAACCGACUUCAUCCCUCCAACAGAUUGACAGCAGGACAAAUCGCUGGAAGUGGGUAUGUCUCAAGCUUCUUCCACUUGGUCCACUCCAAAGCGGGCUGCAAAGGGGAAGAAGUGGAAGCAGUUGAAUGACACAUGUUGCAUUUUGUAACUGGCAACAAAGUACCAGGUAAAAAAGAUUGUGAAGCCUCCCUCCAUAAAGAACUAGUAGCUCUACAGGACAGAGAUUGGCUUGACAUCAAGUACUACAUCCAUAACAGAAUUAUAUUUAA